AGCAGCCGCGGUAAUUCCAGCUCCAAUAGCGUAUAUUAAAGUUGUUGCAGUUAAAAAGCUCGUAGUUGAAUUUCGGGAUCAGUGGGUCGGUCGUGCCACUGGUAUGCACUGGCCCUACUGGUUCCUCCUUCUUGAAGAACUGUAAUGCCAUUAAUUUGGUGUUGCAGGGAAACAGGACCGUUACUUUGAAAAAUUAGAGUGUUUAAAGCAGGCAAUCGCUUGAAUACAUUAGCAUGGAAUAAUGAAAUAGGACGAUCGAUCCUAUUUUGUUGGUUUCUAGGAUUGACGUAAUGAUUAAUAGGGAUAGUUGGGGGCAUUAGUAUUCAAUUGUCAGAGGUGAAAUUCUUGGAUUUAUUGAAGACUAACUACUGCGAAAGCAUUUGCCAAGGAUGUUUUCAUUAAUCAAGAACGAAAGUUAGGGGAUCGAAGACGAUCAGAUACCGUCGUAGUCUUAACCAUAA
rnacentral:rRNA from 1 species